rnacentral:rRNA from 1 species
AAGGGCACCACAAGAACGCGUGGAGCAUGUGGCUUNNUUUGACUCAACGCGGGAAAUCUUACCGGGUCCGGACACACUGAGGAUUGACAGGCAAUAUUAAAUAUAUAUUAAAAAAUUUAUUUUUUAAUUAUGUAUUUAUGUUAAAUAUGCUAGUCCUUUCAUGAUUAUGUGAUAGGUGGUGCAUGGCCGUUCUUAGUUCGUGGAGUGAUCUGUCUGCUUAAUUGCGUUUCACUAAGGGCUUAUAAAUUUACGUGUGUUGUGAGUACUUUGACCCCUACGUUGAAAUAUUACGUAGUGCGCGUCUUAGUUUGCUUCACACACACAAUUAAGUCCUGAAAGCAACGAACGUGACCGCAACCUCUUGUUGCCUUUAAUACACAAAAACUUUAGUCAUAUAUUAUAUUUUUAAUAUAUUUAUGUAUUAUUGUUUAAAAAAAGGCUUUUAAACUAGAGGGACCGCUGUAAUCUUUUUAAACCAGAGGAAGGUUGCGGCAAUAACAGGUCUGUGAUGCCCUUAGAUGUUCCGGGCUGCACACGUGCUACAAUGAUUAUUGCAGUGAGCAUCUCAUUUUUUACACAUCGCAUGCGCGAGUCCAAUUAUUGGCAUUCCUUUAGUGUUUGCACUUUAAUUGUGUUUACUUUGCGCGCGAUAAAGCCUGCUUCGAAAGUAAGUGGGUAAUCAAUUAGAAGUAAUGAUUUCCCAAUUUAUAGCACACAUAUAUACGGCGUCUUUACCCGGAAUAAGCUUGUCUUAUUUUUUGUGUGUAUUGAUGUUUUUUCCGUAUGUGCAAUUGUCAAUUCAUGGUGGGGACAGACCAUUGUUAAUUGUUGGUCUCGGUCUUAACUAGGAAUGCCUUGUACGGGUCUUUGGUUCAACAAACCACCCGGAAUACGUCCCUGCCCUUUGUACACACCGCCCGUCGCUCUUACCGAUGGACCUCUCUGUGAGUUUGAGGGACUGGGUAUUGAUCAAAAUUAAUUUAUUUUAAUUUUUCUACCACCUAUGGAAACUUAAACGAACAGUGUGGUCUAAAGGAAAGAGAAGUCGAACAAGGCA